GUCCGCGGUCAUCGCUUCCGGUGGGAUAGGUCUGACCAAUGGGGCUGGCUCCGAGGCGGGCCUUAGGUCUCGCAGGUUCCUCCCCUGCGCGCUUCUUUCGGAGCGGCGGUGAAGGUCCUGGGUGAGUUAGGGGUGGCUGGUGCUUGCCGCGUAUCAUGGCUGCCUCCGGAAAACUCAGCACUUGCCGUCUCCCUCCGUUGCCCACGAUUCGAGAAAUCAUUAAGUUGUUAAGACUGCAAGCAGCGAAGCAGCUAUCACAGAAUUUCCUCCUGGACUUGAGGCUGACAGAUAAAAUUGUAAGGAAAGCUGGCAAUCUGACAAAUGCUUAUGUUUACGAAGUGGGCCCUGGGCCAGGGGGAAUCACAAGAUCUAUUCUUAAUGCCGAUGUCGCUGAACUUCUGGUGGUUGAAAAGGACACUCGAUUUAUUCCUGGAUUACAGAUGCUUUCUGAUGCAGCACCUGGGAAACUGAGAAUUGUUCAUGGAGAUGUCUUGACAUUUAAGGUAGAAAAGGCCUUUUCAGAAAGUCUUAAAAGACCCUGGGAAGAUGAUCCUCCAAAUGUACAUAUUAUUGGAAAUCUGCCUUUUAGUGUUUCAACUCCACUGAUUAUCAAGUGGCUUGAAAAUAUUUCCUGUAGAGAUGGACCUUUUGUUUAUGGCAGAACUCAGAUGACUUUGACUUUUCAAAAGGAAGUGGCAGAGAGACUUGCAGCCAAUACAGGAAGCAAACAGCGUAGUCGCCUCUCUGUUAUGGCUCAGUACCUCUGCAAUGUUCGACACAUCUUUACAAUUCCAGGACAAGCUUUUGUCCCCAAACCAGAGGUGGACGUGGGCGUGGUGCACUUCACUCCCUUGAUACAGCCCAAGAUAGAGCAGCCAUUCAAGCUGGUGGAAAAAGUGGUUCAGAAUGUAUUUCAGUUCCGAAGGAAAUACUGCCAUCGAGGGCUCAGAAUGUUAUUCCCUGAAGCGCAGCGCUUGGAAAGCACGGGCAGGCUGUUAGAGUUGGCAGACAUAGACCCUACUCUUCGGCCCCGCCAGCUCUCCAUCUCACACUUUAAGAGCCUCUGUGAGGUAUACAGAAAAAUGUGUGAUGAAGACCCACAACUCUUUGCAUAUAAUUUCAGAGAAGAACUCAAGCGAAGAAAAAGCAAAAAUGAAGAAAAAGAAGAGGAUGACGCAGAGAAUUACAGACUCUAGCUGCUGCCUGGGGGCGAGCAGCCUACCAGAUGUCGAUUUGCACUACGUGGAGCUUCUUAUAUAGAUUUUCCUCCAUCUGAACUGCCUUCACCCUCUCUCUGGAGCCCCUCUCUGGGGAAGAGGAGAUUCAGUGGAUCCUAUUCUUCAACCUCCUUUGCAGUUUUGCCCUUUCCUUGGAAGGAACAGGAGCUGGGGUACUUGAGAUCAUCUAUUUCUAUAGUCCUCCUCAUGCCAUUCUUUAAUGAAAACCCCAACACAUCAGUGGGUCAGGCACCCAGCUGUCAGCGUGGGAUUCCGCCUCACAGCCCUGACAGAGCCCUGGAGUGCUGGAAGCUUCCGAGGAUGGAAUGCAGGCUGCGCCCCAAAGACUAACACCGACUCAAAAUGCAGGAAUGUCUGACUUUAAAGACACAUUUCAUGCACACCCAUGAGAAAUAUUGUUAUAGGUGGCCUAAAAAGUGAGUUUCAAACAAUUCAUUAAAAGCCAUGAAGCGUGGCCAGGUGCAGUGGCUCACGCCCGUAAUCCCAGCACUUUGGGAGGCUGAGGCGGGCAGAUCACCUGAGGUCACGAGUUCGAGACCAGCCUGGCCAACAUGGUGAAACCCGUCUCCACUAAAAAUACAAAAAUUAGCCGGGCGUGGUGGUGGGCACCUGUAAUCCCAGCUACUCAGGAGGCUGAGGGAGGAGAAUCACCUGAACUCCUGAGGUGGAGGUUGCAGUGAGCCAAGAUCGCGCCACUGCACUCCAGCCUAGGCAACAAAGUGAGACUCCAUCUCAAAAAAAACAUCAAAAAAGCCAUUAAGCAAUGUUAUCCAGACCCUACACCAUACCCACAAAAAUUUCAUAAAGGAAAAUAAACCAGUGUUUUUCCCACUGGCCUCA